GUGUAUAUGGUGUAAUAAACACAUUAGCUUUUCAUGCUAAAAAUAUAGCUUAUAUUAUACACA
rnacentral:tRNA from 1 species